rnacentral:rRNA from 1 species
AUUGAACGCUGGCGGCAGGCCUAACACAUGCAAGUCGAACGAGUGGCGGACGGGUGAUUAAUGUCUGGGAAACUGCCCGAUGGCGGGGGAUAACUACUGGAACCGUUAGCUAAUACCGCAUACCAUCGGAUGUGCCCAGCUGGGAUUAGCUAGUAGGUGGGGUAACGGCUCACCUAGGCGACGAUCCCUAGCUGGUCUGAGAGGAUGACCAGCCACACUGGAACGUAGACACGGUCCAGACUCCUACGGUAGGCAGCAGUGGGGAAUUUUGGACAAUGGGGGAAACCCUGAUCCAGCCAUCCCGCGUGUGCGAUGAAGGCCUUCGGGUUGUAAAGCACUUUUGGCAGGAAAGCGGUACCUGCAGAAUAAGCACCGGCUAACUCCGUGCCAGCAGCCGCGGUAAUUC